rnacentral:rRNA from 1 species
UACGUAGGGGGCUAGCGUUGUCCGGAAUCAUUGGGCGUAAAGCGCGUGUAGGCGGUCCGGUAAGUCCGCUGUGAAAGUCGGGGGCUCAACCCUCGGAUGCCGGUGGAUACUGGAAGGCUUGAGUUCGGGAGAGGGAUGUGGAAUUCCAGGUGUAGCGGUGAAAUGCGUAGAUAUCUGGAGGAACACCGGUGGCGAAGGCGGCAUCCUGGACCGAAACUGACACUGAGGCGCGAAAGCCAGGGGAGCAAACGGG